UGUUUUUGGAGGUGUGUAACCAAGAGUCUACAACUCCAAGCUUGCAGUAAUAAAUAUGGAAACUGAGAAGGUUGCUGAGCUGGUCCCAAUCCCACAUGCAUCCAGGCAGAUGGCACAUGCAUCAUACCCACCUCCUUUCUGGAAUUUACAGAGACAAAGCCUCUUAAGAUGAUCUUUAUAAAAUAUUUCUCCUAGUUGGAUGUCUGUCCUGGAAAAAUUGUGUGAAAAUGAAAAUGAGUGUCAGGAUGAGGUGAAUUCAUCUUUCAGAGAGUUAUCCGAUACUUUCUCAACAAAGGCAUAUGGAAUGUCACCUUUCCCCCACGAAACAAUUUAUGUGGAUUCCAUACUAAUUAAUCAGUAUCAAUAUUGAGAACUA